rnacentral:rRNA from 1 species
UACGGGGGGGGCAAGCGUUGUUCGGAAUUACUGGGCGUAAAGGGCUCGUAGGUGGCCAACUAAGUCAGACGUGAAAUCCCUCGGCUUAACCGGGGAACUGCGUCUGAUACUGGAUGGCUUGAGUUCGGGAGAGGGAUGCGGAAUUCCAGGUGUAGCGGUGAAAUGCGUAGAUAUCUGGAGGAACACCGGUGGCGAAGGCGGCAUCCUGGACCGACACUGACGCUGAGGAGCGAAAGCCAGGGGAGCAAGCGGG